GAUGAACGCUAGCGGCAGGCUUAAUACAUGCAAGUCGUGGGGCAGCACAGUGUAGCAAUACAUGGGUGGCGACCGGCAAACGGGUGCGGAACACGUACGCAACCUUCCUUCAAGUGGGGAAUAGCCCAGGGAAACUUGGAUUAAUACCCCGUAAUAUUUCGGAGUGGCAUCACUCUGAUCUAUAGCUACUGCGCUUGAAGAUGGGCGUGCGACUGAUUAGGUAGUUGGCGGGGUAACGGCCCACCAAGCCUGAGAUAAGUAACUGGUGUGAGAGCACGACCAGUCACACGGGCACUGAGACACGGGCCCGACUCCUACGGGAGGCAGCAGUAAGGAAUAUUGGUCAAUGGACGCAAGUCUGAACCAGCCAUGCCGCGUGGAGGAUGAAGGUCCUCUGGAUUGUAAACUUCUUUUAUUUGGGAAGAAACCCACGGUUUCUACUGUGGUUGACGGUACCAGAUGAAUAAGCACCGGCUAACUCCGUGCCAGCCGCCGCCGUAAUAC
rnacentral:rRNA from 1 species